UGGGCAAGGGGGGGCUUAUCACCAUGCAGUCGUAACAAGGUAACCAAAGCUUGCUCCCGGAUGUUAACGACGGACGGGUGAGUAACACGUGGGUGACCUGCCUGUAAGACUGGGAUAACUCCGGGAGACCGGAGCUAAUACCGGAUAGUUCCUUGAACCGCAUGGUUCAAGGAUGAAAGACGGCUUCGGCUGUCACUUACAGAUGGACCCGCGGCGCAUUAGCUAGUUGGUGGGGUAAUGGCUCACCAAGGCGACGAUGCGUAGCCAACCUGAGAGGGUGAUCGGUCACACUGGGACUGAGACACGGCCCAGACUCCUACGGGAGGCAGCAGUAGGGAAUCUUCCGCAAUGGACGAAAGUCUGACGGAGCAACGCCGCGUGAGUGAUGAAGGUUUUCGGAUCGUAAAGCUCUGUUGAUAAGGAAGAACAAGUGCGAGAGUAACUGCUCGCACCUUGACGGUACCUAACCAAAAAGCCACGGCUAACUACGUGCCAGCAGCCGCGGUAAUACGUAGGUGGCAAGCGUUGUCCGGAAUUAUUGGGCGUAAAGGGCUCGCAGGCGGAUUCUUAAGUCUGAUGUGAAAGCCCCCGGCUCAACCGGGGAGGGGCAUUGGAAACUGGGAAACUUGAGUGCAGAAGAGGAGAGUGGAAUUCCACGUGUAACGGUGAAAUGCGUAGAGAUGUGGAGGAACACCAAUGGCGAACGCGACUCUCUGGACUGACACUGACGCUGAAGAGCGAAAGCGUGGGGAGCGAACAGGAUUACAUACCCUGGUAGUCCACGCCGUAAACGAUGAGUGCUAAGUGUUAUGGAGGUUUCCGCCCCCUUAAUGCUGCAGCUAACGCAUUACGGCACUCCGCCUGGGGGAGUACGGGCGCAAAGACUGAAACCUCAAAGGGAAUUGAACGGGGGCCCCGCACAAGCCGGUGGGAGCAUGUGGUUUUAAUUCCGAUGC
rnacentral:rRNA from 1 species